rnacentral:rRNA from 1 species
GGGCGUAAAGGGCUCCGCAGGCGGUUUUUUAAGUCUGAUGUGAAAGCCCCCGGCUCAACCGGGGAGGGUCAUUGGAAACUGGGGAACUUGAGUGCAGAAGAGGAGAGUGGAAUUCCACGUGUAGCGGUGAAAUGCGUAGAGAUGUGGAGGAACACCAGUGGCGAAGGCGACUCUCUGGUCUGUAACUGACGCUGAGGAGCGAAAGCGUGGGGAGCGAACAGGAUUAGAUACCCUGGUAGUCCACGCCGUAAACGAUGAGUGCUAAGUGUUAGGGGGUUUCCGCCCCUUAGUGCUGCAGCUAACGCAUUAAGCACUCCGCCUGGGGAGUACGGUCGCAAGACUGAAACUCAAAGGAAUUGACGGGGGCCCGCACAAGCGGUGGAGCAUGUGGUUUAAUUCGAAGCAACGCGAAGAACCUUACCAGGUCUUGACAUCCUCUGACGAUCCUAGAGAUAGGACGUCCCCUUCGGGGGCAGAGUGACAGGUGGUGCAUGGUUGUCGUCAGCUCGUGUCGUGAGAUGUUGGGUUAAGUCCCGCAACGAGCGCAACCCUUGAUCUUAGUUGCCAGCAUUCAGUUGGGCACUCUAAGGUGACUGCCGGUGACAAACCGGAGGAAGGUGGGGAUGACGUCAAAUCAUCAUGCCCCUUAUGACCUGGGCUACACACGUGCUACAAUGGACAGAACAAAGGGCAGCGAAACCGCGAGGUUAAGCCAAUCCCACAAAUCUGUUCUCAGUUCGGAUCGCAGUCUGCAACUCGACUGCGUGAAGCUGGAAUCGCUAGUAAUCGCGGAU